UGACAGAGCUAGGAUUUGACCACAGUCUCGGUCUUUUAAGCACUGCCCACUGGCUAGUACAGCCAUCCUGACAGGCCUUUCUAGAAUGCCACUUCUAUCCUUUCACUCCCUUGAUGACAUCAUAAAGAGCUUGAUGUUUGCAAGUGGACAAUCAGAAACCCCUAGCAUUUGAGAUCUACCACCAAUGGGCUUCGCCUUGGCUGGCCAACCUGACUUGUCACUGUAAUAAAAGGCAGCUGUGAAAGAUGGAAGAUGCUCCAGCCCGAGAAUGAGCCUUGACUCACUAGGGAUGCAGGAUGGUGCCCGCCCACUCCACUUCCCAGUCCUCAGACAUGUCCUCCGGCUGCUGCCCAGGCGGCGGUAGAAGGAUCCCAAGCUCUUCACCCUGGGGCGUACCAUCUCACAAUGGACGAAGAUACACCUGUCUUCCAUGUGUUAAGGAUAAGAGAGGACUUAGAACAGUGAAAAAGGCACUUCCUGCAACCCCAUGACUACAAGAAUGAGGAGCUGUGAGCCUGUGAGAUAGCGAGACGUUGAGAAGCAGGCUUGUGAAGCUGAAAGAGACAGAGAUGAGGCCCUGCUCCGUUGCUCAGGCUGGAAUGCAGUGGUGCAACCAUAGCUCACUGCUGCUUCAAAAUCCUUUGCUGCAGAAGUAAUCCUCCCUCCUCAAUCUCUUGAGUAGCUAGAACUACAGGCAUUCACCACCCUGCCUGGCUAAAGUUUCUUAACAUUGUGUACAGACGGUAUCUUGUUUCGUUGAUCAGCCUGGCCUUGAAUUCUUGUCCUCAAGUGAUCUGACUGCCUCAUCUUCCCAAAGUGCUGGGAUUACAGAUUCAAAUCAAGCACUGUAUCUUGUCCAACAUUGUCAAGAAUCCACAGCACCUAACCUAAUACAGUGGCUCCUGCAUAUUGAAGAACAACGCAGCAUUGGUGAAGUAGAAACCCCUAGGAACGAGGCUGCCCAAAUUCGAAUCCCAGCUCCGCCAGUUUCUGAGUGGCCUUGGGGAUUCUGACCUUCUGAGCUAUACUCCAGACCCAUGACCCUGGAACCUGCCCCUCCUUUACGCUGCUGGACAACCAUGGACAAGACACCUUGCCACAGCAUUUCCCCAAAGCCUCAAAAAAAUGGAAGCACAGGGAUAAGAUUGUUGAUGUCACUGUAGCUGGAAAACACAAUGAGCAUAAAGGGUUUUGGAAGAAAAAAUGCAUAUUUGUCAGACAUAACCAUUAUUCUCUGCAGAAUUUAAAAAGACACAGAUGGCCAAGGGAGCGAAGGAGGCGAGAUGUAAUGUCUCCUCCAAGGGCCCACACAUACAUGGCCUUUUCAAGCAGUCUGCUCAUGUUUAUAUCACGGCAUUCUGGGCUCCUCCCACUUGCUUUUACAUUUCCUAGUCUCUUUUCCCUAAUCCGUCUUCCAUUUAUCUUUCCCCUGCUGCUUUACUUUAAAACAGAAAUUCCACAUCCAUAUCCAAAGGGAACAAAACCCAACUCUAGGAGCUUGAAGGAGCCCCCAGUUGCCAUUAUCCUCAACAACUGUGGUGCUGGAAAUCCUCGAAGGACAGCUGCUUCUGGGUUAUUUCAAAUGUUGGAAUAUGAGCUGAAUGGGUCUUAUUUUUAUUACAUCGGUUACCAUAAAAAAUAAUUGAAUAAUGCAUCUAAAAAUACUUGGCUGCCAGGUGUGAUGGCUCAUGCCUAUAAUCCUAAAGCUUUGGGAGGCCAAAGUAGGAAUGGCUUAAGAUCAGGAGUAUGAGACCAGCCUAGGCAACAUAGCAAGACACCAUCACCACCCCUGGUUUCCACAAAAAGUUUACAAAUUAGCUGGUCAUGGUAGCACACAUCUGUGGUCCCAGCUACUCAGGAUGCUGAGGUGGGAGGGUCAAUUGAGCCCAGGAGGUCAAGGCUGCAGUGAGCCAUGAUUGUGCCACUGCACUUCAGCCUGGGUGACAGAGCAAGAUCAAGCCUCAAAAGUAAGUAAAUAAAUAAAUAAAUAAACCUUGGCAAUAUAAUUCAGCAAAUAUAUCAAUCAAAGCACUAGAAUGACUACAUUAAUAACAAUGAAAUAUAAACUAUACCCUAAAAAUCCAAUCUUGUUUUCCCCAGACUCAGGAAUUCUACAAACUAUCCCACCUGUUCCUAGUCUUGCACAUUCUAAAAUCUUCUUUCUGAGUCAGAGUACAUUAGAACUACAUCAGGGGUCUUGAUCUGCCACUGUCUACCUCUUUGCCAAAAGCUUCCAGAAUUAGUGUUACUGUCCUCCUAUCCAGAUUCCCCUAUGUGAAGCAGAAGCCAGAUUUUCUGUCUACCAAAGGCAGCUGGCCAACAACAGAUGUCAAGUGUAGAAAAACGUUGAGCUAGGGUGAUGCAUUUGUAAUGGCAUGUCCUAUGGGUCCCGAAGCCCUGAGCUGACAACAGCUUCAGGCAGGCUCGUCCUUAUUAUAGUUACCUCCCCCAGCCCUGCAAGCUAGGACAAGAUGAAGGGAAACUUCUUUUUGCCGGAGGAUUCCUGGCUGGCUCUAAGCUUGAAUCACCACUGGUGGAUGGUCAUAAGCAACGUCUCAUCUGCAGACUUUUAAAGGGGCCUCAGUAUUUGGAGUGGAACAUCAUUAACCCCAAAUCACCUAUUCUAUAUUAUCCCUCACAUGCCUACAAGAACCUACCACCAGCCCUAUUUCAAACACAGAGAAAUGAAGCCACGGCAUUUAAAAGGCAUUUUUCCUAAGGCUGGAAGGUGGGUGCAUAUUAAAACC